UGGGGAAUAUUGGGCAAUGGGCGAAAGCCUGACCCAGCAACGCCGCGUGAAGGAAGAAGGUCUUCGGAUUGUAAACUUCUGUCCUAUGGGAAGAAAAAAUGACUGUACCAUAGGAGGAAGCUCCGGCUAACUACGUGCCAGCAGCCGCGGUAAUACGUAGGGAGCGAGCGUUGUCCGGAAUUACUGGGCGUAAAGGGUGCGUAGGCGGUUUUUUAAGUCAGAUGUGAAAUACCCGGGCUUAACCCGGGGGGUGCAUUUGAAACUGGAAGACUUGAGUGCAGGAGAGGUAAAUGGAAUUCCUAGUGUAGCGGUGAAAUGCGCAGAUAUUAGGAGGAACACCGGUGGCGAAGGCGAUUUACUGGACUGUAACUGACGCUGAGGCACGAAAGCGUGGGGAGCAAACAGGAUUAGAUACCCUGGUAGU
rnacentral:rRNA from 1 species